GAGUUUGAUCUUGGCUCAGGACGAACGCUGGCGGCGUGCUUAACACAUGCAAGUGGAGCGACGAACCAGGCUUCGGCCUGGGGCAGAGCCGCGAACGGGUGAGUAACACGUGGGUAACCUGCCCCGAAGACCGGGACAACCCGAGGAAACUCGGGCUAAUACCGGAUGUGGUCACUCCUCACAAGUGGAGUGAGCAAAGGGAGCUUCGGCCCCCGCUUCGGGAUGGGCCCGCGGCCCAUUAGCUUGUUGGUGAGGUAACGGCUCACCAAGGCCGCGAUGGGUAGCUGGUCUGAGAGGACGAUCAGCCACACUGGGACUGAGACACGGCCCAGACUCCUACGGGAGGCAGCAGUGGGGAAUCUUGCGCAAUGGGCGACAGCCUGACGCAGCAACGCCGCGUGGGGGAAGAAGGCCUUCGGGUUGUAACCCCUUUCGGGAGGGACGAAGCUCCGGGAGUUAAUAGCUCUCCGGAGUGACGGUACCUCACGAAGAAGCCCCGGCUAACUACGUGCCAGCCGCCGCCGUAAC
rnacentral:rRNA from 1 species